rnacentral:rRNA from 1 species
UGGGGAAUUUUGCACAAUGGGGGAAACCCUGAUGCAGCGACGCCGCGUGAUUUAGAAGGCCUUCGGGUUGUAAAAAUCUUUUUUACGGGAUGAAAAUGACAGUACCGUAAGAAUAAGGUCCGGCUAAAUACGUGCCAGCAGCCGCGGUAAUACGUAUGGACCGAGCGUUGUCCGGAAUCAUUGGGCGUAAAGGGUACGUAGGCGGCCUAGUAAGUUAGAAGUGAAAUAAUAUAGCUCAACUAUAUAAAGCUUUUAAAACUGCUAGGCUUGAGAGAUGGAAGGGAAAGUGGAAUUCCUAGUGUAGCGGUGAAAUGCGCAGAUAUUAGGAAGAAUACCGGUGGCGAAGUCGACUUUCUGGUCAUCAUCUGACGCUGAGGUACGAAAGCGUGGGUAGCAAACAGG